CACGUAGGGCGCAAGCGUUGUCCGGAAUUAUUGGGCGUAAAGAGCUCGUAGGCGGUCUGUUGCGUCCGCUGUGAAAACUCGGGGCUUAACCCCGAGCCUGCAGUGGAUACGGGCAGACUAGAGGUAGGUAGGGGAGAAUGGAAUUCCCGGUGUAGCGGUGAAAUGCGCAGAUAUCGGGAGGAACACCGGUGGCGAAGGCGGUUCUCUGGGCCUUACCUGACGCUGAGGAGCGAAAGCCAGGGGAGCGAACGGG
rnacentral:rRNA from 1 species